CAGACUCUAGCACAGCCAUGAACCAAAUAACCAUUACCUUACAUUGGACAGACAAAGCUUACAUUGCUACUGGCAUUAUUUGUGGAGUAGUUAUUGAUAUUAUAAUAUGCUUCAUUCUUGUGAAAAAAAUGUCCAAACAAAAAGAAAAUACUCUGCAAUACAACUAAAAAAAGAACCUACUUGCUUACAUAUUUU